GGCCUGCUGGCCCAAUGGCAAGGCGCUUGACUACGAACACACGCAGGGAUAGAACCUGCAUGUGGACGCAUCAAGAGAUUGCAGGUUCGAUCCCUGCGUAGGUCA
rnacentral:tRNA from 1 species